UGUAAGCGUAUACCAAAGUUGUUGCAGUUAAAACGCUCGUAGUCGGAAUUUGGCAGUUCCGGAAGUGUGCACGUCGUGUGCGCACUUUGCGGGGACUGCUUUUGUGGUCUUGCGUAGGAUGAGGCACUUUCAUUAGUGAACGUCCUCACGCAACCACUCUUUACUGUGAGAAAAUCAGAGUGCUCAAAGCAGGCAUUUGCCGUGAAGGUAUUAGCAUGGAAUAAUAGAAUAGGACUCGGUUCUAUUUUGUUGGUUUGUUGGGACUGAGUAAUGAUUAAGAGGGACAGUUGGGGGCAUUUGUAUUCCGGCGCUAGAGGUGAAAUUCUUAGAUUGCCGGAAGACAAACUGCUGCGAAAGCGUCUGCCAAGGAUGUUUUCAUUGA
rnacentral:rRNA from 1 species